rnacentral:rRNA from 1 species
UACGUAGGGUGCAGGCGUUAAUCGGAAUUACUGGGCGUAAAGCGUGCGCAGGCGGUUUCUUAAGUCAGAUGUGAAAGCCCCGGGCUUAACCUGGGAACUGCGUUUGAAACUGGGAGACUUGAGUGUGGCAGAGGGGGGUGGAAUUCCACGUGUAGCAGUGAAAUGCGUAGAUAUCGCUUGGAACGCCGAAGGUGAAAACAGGCUGCUGGGGUUGCGCCGACGCUGAGACACGAAAGCCAGGGGAGCAAACGGG